rnacentral:rRNA from 1 species
UACGUAGGGUGCGAGCGUUAUUCGGAAUUACUGGGCGUAAAGCGUGCGCAGGCGGUUUUGUAAGCCAGAUGUGAAAGCCCCGGGCUUAACCUGGGAAUGGCAUUUGGGACUGCAAGGCUUGAGUGCGGCAGAGGAGACUGGAAUUCCUGGUGUAGCAGUGAAAUGCGUAGUUAUCAGGAGGAAUACCGAUGGCGAAGGCAGGUCUCUGGGCUGACACUGACGCUCAUGCACGAAAGCGUGGGGAGCAAACAGG